CCGAUUGACAAACUAGAAUUAUUUGAAUUCCGUGUGGAAAGAGCUCGGGUUAAUUUCGAGUGUUAUCUGCAAUCUAGAUGUUUAUAAAUCAUUUCAGUCGUUGAUAUAAUAAUUAAAGGUCGACUGAACAUGAAUUAUAUUAUACAAUUUAAAGCGCAUUUCUGUUUAUGCACGUGAACCCGUCUAACGUUAUUUUCGCAGUUAUAUAAAGUAGCAAAUUAUCGUUCCUGAAUAGGUGGCGCCGUGGUAGCGGAUCCUGUUCCUCUACUUCCGGUUUCUGCACUGUGCAACUAUUUCAGUUAUAUUUUUAAUUAACGAUGCCAAGUACUUGUUGUUGUGUACCUGGAUGUCAUUUAAGAGGAGGACAUGCAUUUCCAAAUGAUUUAAAAAGAAGGAAAAGUUGGAUCAACGCCAUGGCCCAUACGCAGAUUGAACGAGAACACGAUGAUAUCGUGGAGUCCAUCUCAAUCAGCUGUUGUUUGCAAGGCACGUUUUACUGAAAAAGACUACGUGCAGGAAACUAUUCAUGGGCGCAAACCCACCAUACAGAGACUUAAGUCUACUGCAAUUCCCAGCCUAUUUUCCUGGACCAAGCAAGAGACUGAAUCGUCCGCAAAAAGAAAAAUCAGGGCAGUUUCCUGUGAAAACAAAAGAACUAAACUUGAUGAAUAUUGUAGUAGAAAUCUAGAGGAAAGUUUUGAUUGUAAAGUUGGUUUUCCUGAAGAAGUAAUUCAUACUGCAGAAAGGAUUUAUGACUGUCCACCACCAACUGCCGAGCUAAUGUUGAGCUUCACAGAUGGAAUUACGCAAACACCAUCAAUGCCUAUGUUUUCAGCAGAGAAUUUUGAAAUGAAGACACGUGACACAGCCAUGCAUUUUUAUACCGGUUUAGAGUUGUAUACUAAAUUUUUAUUUGUUUUGACCACACUUGGUCCAGCAGCACAUUGUUUGAGAUACAUAUAUUUUCAAAUUGAUAGGGUGUCAGUUGAAAAUCAGUUUUUUUAAUGACUUUGAUGAAACUGAGGCAUCAUACAACCAACUUUGAACUGUCUAGAUUCUAGAUUGAAUCUAGUGUUAAGAAUAUUGUGUAUACAUGGAUUGUUUUUAUGUCUAAACAGUGGUGUGAGGCUAACACUUGGCCCUCUAGUGGUUUAGUCAGGUAUUUUUCACCAUCCAACUUCAAAUUAAAGUUUCCUACGACUUGGAUUAUUAUUGACAGCACAGAAUAUCCCGUGAUAAAACCUAAAGCUCCUAGAGCUCAGGCAACCUUUUCAUCAAAUAAAAACAGAAACACUGAAAAUUCUUGAAUGUUCGACACCUGGUGGUUUAGUCAACUAUGUCUCUAUGUCACAUAGAGCGAAUUAUUGGACUUGGCAAAACAUACAAAAUUCUAAUAAAUCCUAUGAAUGGAUCUGAAACAAAACUUUCAUCUGAAAUAACAUUUAGUUGUUUUAUGUUGUGUAAUUUUAGAACUUGUAUUGUGCCAAAGGAUGCAUAAAUAAAAGUGACGCAAUGAA